rnacentral:rRNA from 1 species
UACGGAGGGUGCAAACGUUGCUCGGAAUCAUUGGGCGUAAAGCGCACGUAGGCGGCGCGUUAAGUCGGGUGUGAAAGCCCUCGGCUCAACCGAGGAAGUGCAUUCGAAACUGGCGCGCUUGAGUAUGGAAGAGGGUCUCGGAAUUCCCGGUGUAGAGGUGAAAUUCGUAGAUAUCGGGAGGAACACCAGUGGCGAAGGCGGAGACCUGGGCCAAUACUGACGCUGAGGUGCGAAAGCGUGGGGAGCAAAC